rnacentral:rRNA from 1 species
AUGGAGGCGGCGGCCUCAGCCGCUGUGGCGGCGGCCAAGGAGGCGGCGCUGGCCGCGGCAUCGGCGGCAGAGAAGGAGGCGGCAGUGGCGGCCGCGACCGCGAAGGAGGCGGCGGCGGCCUCAGCUGCUGCGGUGUCUGCUAAGGAGGCGGCGUUGGCCGCGUCUGCUGCGGCAUCGGCUGCUGCGAAUGAGGCGGAGGUGGCGGCUGUGACUGCGACGGAGACAGCGGCGACUGCGAAGGAGGCGGCGGUGGCGGCUUCGGCUGCUGCGUCAAAUGCGAAGGAGGCAGCGGCUGUGGCGGCGACUACAGGGGAGGUGGCGGCGGCGGCCGCCGCCGCUGCGACGGCGGCAAUGCAGGCUUCCAAGAAGCGUAAGUUCCACCUUAUCUGCGACCAAGAUCCACCGGGGAGUGGGAGCUGCGAUGAUGUUGAUGGGGGGAGCGUCGAUNNNNNNNNNNNNNNNNNNNNNNNNNNNNNNNNNNNNNNNNNNNNNNNNNNNNNNNNNNNNNNNNAUCUCACUGAUGAUGUUGAUGGGGGGAGCGUCGAUCUCAGCGAUGACGUUGAUGAGGGGAGCGUCGAUCUCAUCAGCUAUUUUGAUUUGGGGAGUGCCGAUCUCAUCAGCCGCCUCCCCGACGCCGUCCUCGGCAGCAUAGUGUCUCUUCUCCCCACCAAAGAAGGCGCCCGCACGCAGAUCAUCUCCCGCCGGUGGCGUCCGCUCUGGCGUUCCGCUCCUCUGAACCUUGUAGUGGACUACAAGAUCAUUAACUUGGUUCCAAAGAUUCUCUCUGAGCAUCGUGGCCCCGCACGCCGCUUCUCAAUCGAGGACUGUUACGUCGAAGGCAGGCUUGGUCCCUAUACCCGGAGUAUCUAUAUAGAAGACUGUUAUGAUAAGGUUGAAGGCUGGCUUAGUUCCGCUGCCCUGGACAACCUAGAGGAGUUGGAGCUCACCCCCAAGUGCUCAUACGGCUACCGGGGGGAGUUGUACCUGCUGCACUCGUCGACAUACCGCUUCUCAUCCACGCUCCGCGUGGCCAAAUUCCACUGCUGCCAUUUCCCCAACUUAAUUGUGCAGCUGUCCCUGAAGUUUCCAUGCCUCAAGCAAUUGACCCUGCAAAAGGUCACCAUCUCGGAGGACCCUCUCCAGAGCUUGCUCUCUGGCUGCACUGCCUUGGAAAGCCUUGAGCUGAAGGAAAACAUGGGCACUGGUCGCCUCUGCAUCACCUCCCAAACUCUUAAGAGUUUAGGCUUUUGCGCUAACUCAAGGGAUGGUGGUCUCUUUUUGCAAGAGUUAGUCGUCAAGGAUGCCCCGUGCCUUGAGAGAUUGCUACCACUUAAUCCAAAGGGUGGCACAGCGAGCAUACGGAUAAUCUCGGCACCUAAACUGGAGAUAUUGGGUAUGCUGUCUGAAGACACAUAUGAAUUCCACCUUGGGAGUUCAGUUUUUCAGAAAAUGAUUGCUGUCAAUUUAACAACCAAAAUGCACACCAUGAGGGUUUUGGUUCUCAGCUCUGUUGGCCCUAAUCUGGAUGCAGUUGUGAACUUCCUCAAGUGCUUCCCUUGCUUGGAGAGGUUGUAUGUCAUUUUCCAGUCACCCUCAUACAAGGAUAUGAAUAAUGUCCGGAAGUAUGACCCACUGGACCCAAUUGAAUGUCUUGAGCUUCAUCUAAAAAAAGUAGUGUUGAAGAAUUAUGACGGCACCAGAGAUUCAUCUAUCAACUUUGCCAAGUUCUUUGUUCUGAAUGCAAAAGUGCUAAAGGAAAUGAAAAUCACAUUGCCUUACCACCGCCAGCAUGGAUGGUUUGCUAAUCAAUCCAGCCUGCUACGAGUCAGAAAUAGAGCUUCUCCAGAUGCUCGAAUUGAGAUGAGAUGUGGCACUAAAGAUGAUUUCACACACAACAAGCAUACCCAUGAUCUGUCAAUGGACGACCCCUUUGACUUGCCCUACGGAGGAUGCUAUAUGUGUAAAGAGAAGGGUCUAGGAGAUGGUGUAUACCAAGUUUAA